CUUUUAAAUGGGAAAUAGACCCCCACUGGACUUAGAACCCAACCCUCCCGGUGCAAAUCCGAGUAAAAGCU
rnacentral:tRNA from 1 species